AAAGUUAAGUAGUUUAAGUUGUGUGCAAGUGGUAGGAGAGCGUUCUAUUUGCGUCGAAGGUAUACCGGUAAGGAGUGCUGGAGCGAAUAGAAGUGAGCAUGCAGGCAUGAGUAGCGAUAAUUAAUGUGAGAAUCAUUAACGCCGUAAACCCAAGGUUUCCUACGCGAUGCUCGUCAUCGUAGGGUUAGUCGGGUCCUAAGUCGAGUCCGAAAGGGGUAGACGAUGGCAAAUUGGUUAAUAUUCCAAUACCAACAUUAGUGUGCGAUGGAAGGACGCUUAGGGCUAAGGGGGCUAGCGGAUGGAAGUGCUAGUCUAAGGUCGUAGGAGGUUAUACAGGCAAAUCCGUAUAACAAUACUCCGAGAACUGAAAGGCUUUUUGAAGUCUUCGGAUGGAUAGAAGAACCCCUGAUGCCGUCGAGCCAAGAAAAGUUUCUAAGUUUAGCUAAUGUUGCCCGUACCGUAAACCGACACAGGUGGGUGGGAUGAGUAUUCUAAGGCGCGUGGAAGAACUCUCUUUAAGGAACUCUGCAAAAUAGCACCGUAUCU
rnacentral:rRNA from 1 species